UACGUAGGGGGCUAGCGUUGUCCGGAAUCAUUGGGCGUAAAGCGCGUGUAGGCGGUCCGGUAAGUCCGCUGUGAAAGUCGGGGGCUCAACCCUCGAAUGCCGGUGGAUACUGUCGGGCUAGAGUGCGGAAGAGGCGAGUGGAAUUCCUGGUGUAGCGGUGAAAUGCGCAGAUAUCAGGAGGAACACCAAUUGCGAAGGCAGCUCGCUGGGACGUAACUGACGCCUGAGAACGCGGAAAGCAGUGGGGAGUCAAA
rnacentral:rRNA from 1 species